GUGGGGAAUUUUGGACAAUGGGCGCAAGCCUGAUCCAGCCAUUCCGCGUGCAGGAUGAAGGCCUUCGGGUUGUAAACUGCUUUUGUACGGAACGAAAAGCCUCUGGUUAAUACCCGGGGGUCAUGACGGUACCGUAAGAAUAAGCACCGGCUAACUACGUGCCAGCAGCCGCGGUAAUACGUAGGGUGCGAGCGUUAAUCGGAAUUACUGGGCGUAAAGCGUGCGCAGGCGGUGAUGUAAGACAGUUGUGAAAUACCCGGGCUCAACCUGGGAACUGCAUCUGUGACUGCAUUGCUGGAGUGCGGCAGAGGGGGAUGGAAUUCCGCGUGUAGCAGUGAAAUGCGUAGAUAUGCGGAGGAACACCGAUGGCGAAGGCAAUCCCCUGGGCCUGCACUGACGCUCAUGCACGAAAGCGUGGGGAGCAAACAGGAUUAGAUACCCUUGUAGUCC
rnacentral:rRNA from 1 species